GUCAGCGAUGACGAGGACGAAGGGAGGCCCAAGAUGAGAUGUGUAAAUAUGUCCAUGGAUAUUUUCUCCGGGAUGGCAUUCUCCAGAUCAUAUUCGUGGCUCACGUCUACAAAAAAGACACAGAUGGAAAUAAAAAACGGGUUGUCCUGCGGGGCCGCUAGGCUCGCCGAGGACCUCAAAGGCUGUGGCUAGCUCAUCUGCCGAGAUACCAAAGGCCGGCCGGUGGUUGACGUAGAGUUUGAUCAGCUCCUCCAGGUUGAUGUCCAUGACGUACUCUCCUGUUUCUGUGUACUGGCCCAUCUUCACCUCGUUUAGCAUGUCUUCAACCUGCUCAGAAUAAAACAGCCAAUUUUGCAGGAAUGUUGCAUAUGAGGAAACCAAAAUGUGGAUCGCACCUCCUCUUCAGUUGGGAAGUAGGCCAAAGCCCGCAUGAGUGAAGGCAAUUCCGUCAGGGGAAUUUUGGGAGACAGCUGUCGCGUGUCCAUGGACUCCAGACCUUGACUGUGAAUUUGGCAGUAAUAGAAAAAGUCUUCGAUUUCCUACAGUAUAAAAACAUAAGUUACUUGUCUGUACUGGUUCCACGACUAAAUGAUGACAUUUCAAACUCACCCUGUAGAAUUCUCCAUUCCGGCCUCCCUCUAAAAGAGUGUAAUAUGGCUCCAGGUCCUUUCCUCCCAAAGCUGCUGCUCCUUCCAGGGCACUGCGCUCACCGGAAAGAGCCAAAAGACAAUUUAUAUUACGCAUACCAAACACAAUAGGUCGAGACAGGAGAGCCGGAUUAUAAUCUGGCAGUUGUUUUCUCAUAUUGUAGUAUCGGAUGAUGAAUACGAUGCGUGGACACAUUUUUGGGGAAGCUUGUUGUGGAUUUGUUUGAUGAUAGCGCCCAGUCGUGUGACUUCUCCAGUCCCUCCGCCGCAACUUGAGAACAUUCUGAAAUUUCUUCUCGUGUAUGUUCCAUGCAAAGAUUACCUGUAGUUUAUCUGCCAUAGCAAGACAGUGCAGUCAGGACCACCUGCAGUAAAAAGAAACUGUCCGUUGUUGGAGUAGGCGAAGGCGGACACGCCGGUCGGAUGGCAGAGCACCGCUUGGGAUUUGUAGGGGUUGCCGUCCAGAGGCAAGAUCUGAAGGCCAACCUGGAGGAAGCAUCAGCAGACCUCCUCUUACUCAGUCCUGGCUGGUGAAAAGUGCUAAGCGGACUGACCUUGUCGUCUGUUAUGUACGCCAUGUAGUAAGUGCCUCUCUCGUUGUCUUUGGACGUGGGGAGAAUCCUGAUUUUCUUAACGGGGCUUCCGUACGUCGGCCCGAGGAGGGUCUUUCUGUUGAAGUUAUUCAGAAAAGACCUACAUCCUGUCUCCUUUUGAAAAAACAAAAAAUGGUGGUGAUGUUUAUUACCUGCAUGUCUUGGAGGUGCUGUUGAAAAGCUUCAUCUUGUAUUGGUCCGAGGCGACCACCAGAAACUCCUCGGCGCUCAGCGGCGGGUAUAAGGUCAUACACUUAGGCACCGCGCUCUGGUCAAGACGCUUGGAGCUCAGGAUGAUCAGGUGGCCUACUUCACUGCUCUCCACGUCGUACUCCACCUGUUAAUCCCAAUUGUUCUACAUGCUUUACAGCCAGCAGCCGAUUGCGGCCCAUUAAUCAAUAAAAUGAGUAGAUAAAUAAAUGCCCAUCGAUUUAUGUUUGAUGAGUUCCAAAAAUCUCAUCCACCAAUUGCAGACUCACCAGCAGGCGGUCCAGGCCCAGCGUGAACAGUCUAGGCUUGGCGCUGUCCCGGUGAACCCCAAACAUGAGGUCUGUAAUGGCUUUGUAGUGGGAGCGGUACCUGCCCAGGUAGAUCCACAAAGGCGGCUGCAUGCGAAAUAACGUCACCGCUUUUCCGACGUCCUGAUGGCGACAACUUCGAUUACUACGUACGGAGGCCUUUUAUUAUCGGUGCCCCUGCUUCGAGGUAAUUUACGGCAGUGGCAAGGUAUCUGGAGUCAUGCGAAAAACUCAUGUGGCUGAUGCUGUCCGGGGAGUAAUCGAAACACUCCUUGGGAUCACUUUGUAAUGUGUUGGCAUCCAGAAAAUGAACGGCUCCGCUUGCAAAGCCCACCGCCAGGUGACGUCCUGUUCAAGAAGGAACAAAUGUGUCUGUCCAAAAAUAGCAAAUUGUUUCUUUUGUUGUUGUUGAGGCAUGGUCUCAGCUGUAUAUUGUUUCUAUUUUAUGUUAAUUGUAUUUAUGAUUUCAAUUUUUCUUUUCAAAAAUAGAAAAUGUGUUGAGUUGUACGCUCAA